rnacentral:rRNA from 1 species
UACGUAGGGAGCAAGCGUUGUCCGGAAUCAUUGGGCGUAAAGCGCGCGUAGGCGGCCCUGUAAGUCCGUUGUGAAAGUCAAAGGCUCAACCUUUGAAAGCCGAUGGAUACUGCAGGGCUGGAGUCCGGAAGAGGCGAGUGGAAUUCCUGGUGUAGCGGUGGAAUGCGCAGAUAUCAGGAGGAACACCAAUAGCGAAGGCAGCUCGCUGGGACGGUACUGACGCUAAGGCGCGAAAGCGUGGGGAGCGAACGAGG